UACGUAUGGGGCAAGCGUUAUCCGGAAUUACUGGGCGUAAAGGGUGCGUAGGUGGUUUCUUAAGUCAGAGGUGAAAGGCUACGGCUCAACCGUAGUAAGCCUUUGAAACUGGGAAACUUAGUGCAGGAGAGGAGAGUGGAAUUCCUAGUGUAGCGGUGAAAUGCGUAGAUAUUAGGAGGAACACCAGUUGCGAAGGCGGCUCUCUGGACUGUAACUGACACUGAGGCACGAAAGCGUGGGGAGCAAACAGGAUUAGAUACCCUGGUAGUCCCUGAG
rnacentral:rRNA from 1 species